rnacentral:rRNA from 1 species
UACGGGGGGGGCAAGCGUUGUUCGGAAUUACUGGGCGUAAAGGGCUCGUAGGUGGCCAACUAAGUCAGACGUGAAAUCCCUCGGCUUAACCGGGGAACUGCGUCUGAUACUGGAUGGCUUGAGUUUGGGAGAGGGAUGCGGAAUUCCAGGUGUAGCGGUGAAAUGCGUAGAUAUCUGGAGGAACACCGGUGGCGAAGGCGGCAUCCUGGACCAUUACUGACGCUGAGGAGCGAAAGCCAGGGGAGCAAACGGG